rnacentral:rRNA from 1 species
CCUACGGGAGGCAGCAGUGGGGGAUAUUGCACAAUGGGGGGAACCCUGAUGCAGCGACGCCGCGUGGGUGAAGAAGCGCCUCGGCGCGUAAAGCUCUGUCAGCAGGGAAGAAAAUGACGGUACCUGAGGAAGAAGCCCCGGCUAACUACGUGCCAGCAGCCGCGGUAAUACGUAGGGGGCAAGCGUUAUCCGGAUUUACUGGGUGUAAAGGGGGCGUAGACGGUGAUGCAAGCCAGGAGUGAAAGGCCGGGGCUCAACCCCGGAACUGCUCUGGGAACUGGGGGGCUGGAGUGCGGGAGGGGCAGGCGGAAUUCCUGGUGUAGCGGUGAAAUGCGUAGAUAUCAGGAGGAACACCGGUGGCGAAGGCGGCCUGCUGGACCGCAACUGACGUUGAGGCUCGAAAGCGUGGGGAGCAAACAGGAUUAGAUACCCCUGUAGUC